rnacentral:lncRNA from 1 species
UUACCCAUAGCAUGCAUUUUGGUACCAUCAUGAUCUCCCCCUUUCUUCCUCUUCUCUGUUCUCCACAGGAUGUGAAGUGCUGACAAAACUUGACUUGACUGUGAAUUUCGUUGGGGAGCUGAGCAGCAUUAAAAGCCUGAAACACAACAUCCACCUGAAGGAGCUCUUCCUCAUGGGUAACCCGUGUGCUGACUUCGAUGGCUACAGGCAGUUCGUGGUGGCCACACUUGAGCAGUUACAGCCCAUCUUCGUCAGAGAACAAAGAACAAGUCCAGCUACCAGAAAUACAAGAAGAUGCACGCAGCACAAAGAAAUUGAAUGGAAGUGAAGAUGACCUGGAAUUCUGGAACAAACCCUCUCUGUAUACUCCGGAAUCUAGACUGGAAACUCUCAGACAUGUGGAAAAGCAACGGAAAGAACAAGAAAAAUUAAGGUAUCAUAUAUAUUCCCAUCAUCAAGAAUGGGACAGUACUCUGAAGGACUGCAUUUUCAUGAUUGUAGA